UACGUAGGUGGCAAGCGUUGUCCGGAAUUACUGGGCGUAAAGGGCGCGUAGGCGGGUAAUUAAGUCAGAUGUGAAAACUGCAGGCUCAACCUGGAGAUUGCAUCUGAUACUGGAUAUCUUGAGUGCAGGAGAGGACAGUGGAAUUCCUAGUGUAGCGGUGAAAUGCGUAGAUAUUAGGAGGAACACCAGUGGCGAAGGCGGCUGUCUGGACUGUAACUGACGCUGAGGCGCGAAAGCGUGGGGAGCAAACAGG
rnacentral:rRNA from 1 species